UACGGAGGGUGCGAGCGUUGUCCGGAAUCACUGGGCGUAAAGGGCGCGUAGGCGGCGCGGUAAGCGUGCGGUGAAAGCCCGGGGCUCAACCCCGGGUCGGCCGUGCGGACUGCCGGGCUGGAGCACUGUAGAGGCAGGUGGAAUUCCGGGUGUAGCGGUGGAAUGCGUAGAGAUCCGGAAGAACACCGGUGGCGAAGGCGGCCUGCUGGGCAGUAGCUGACGCUGAAGCGCGACAGCGUGGGGAGCAAACAGA
rnacentral:rRNA from 1 species